AUGCAUCCAUGACUUAUCCAUCUCACACACUAUAAAAUGAUACAUAUAAUAAAGUGAAAAGACCAGCAAUGAAACACUACUAUAUUGACAGAGAAGAGAACAAAGUGGGAAAAAAAGAAAAAAAAAAUUCUACAAUAAUCAGACAACUGUUUUUACAAAAUAAUCGUCGCGUAACAUAGAUUAAGACGACGGCAUGUCUAUUUACCGUCGUCUUUAAGCAAACAACAAGAUAUUUAUUUUCUUUUUGAAGAACAGGUCUGGGUUAUGGUCGCCUAAGAACAACGGCGAUAGUAAAUAAAAACCGACGUAUAAUAAAAAUUUAGACGACGGUUGGUUUGGUGGAAACCAACCAUCGUCGUGGUUUCCAAAAAACCAAAGCCUAAUUAUUCCAUCCCCAUUCCAUUUCAAAGAACCCUUAACAAAAUGCAAACAUCAAAACAUAAAAGAACCCAUAUAUAGCUCCCAAUCAAGAAC
rnacentral:lncRNA from 1 species